ACAACAUACGUACCGUCGGUCUAUCGAGAAAUAUCACCCGCUCGGAGAAAGAUCUUCCCUUUAACGU
rnacentral:pre_miRNA from 1 species